AAGUCGAGCGAGAAAGCCCGCAAGGGUGAGUAAAGCGGCGCACGGGUGCGUAACACGUGGGUAAUCUGCCCUAGAGUCCGGAAUAACUCGCCGAAAGGCGUGCUAAUGCCGGAUGAGACCACGGGAGCUUCGGUUCCUGGGGGAAAAGGUGGCCUCUGUACACAAGCUAUCGCUCUAGGAUGAGCCCGCGGCCCAUCAGCUCGUUGGCGGGGUAACGGCCCACCAAGGCAACGACGGGUAGCUGGUCUGAGAGGACGAUCAGCCACACUGGAACUGAGACACGGUCCAGACUCCUACGGGAGGCAGCAGUGGGGAAUCUUGCGCAAUGGGCGAAAGCCUGACGCAGCAACGCCGCGUGUGUGAUGAAGGUCUUCGGAUCGUAAAGCACUGUCGCGAGGGACGAAUAAGGGGCGGGCGAACAGUCCGUUUCGAUGACGGUACCUCGAGAGGAAGCACCGGCUAACUCUGUGCCAGCAGCCGCGGUAAUACAGAGGGUGCAAGCGUUGUUCGGAAUUAUUGGGCGUAAAGCGCGUGUAGGCGGCCUAGCAAGUCGGAUGUG
rnacentral:rRNA from 1 species